rnacentral:rRNA from 1 species
AACCAUCGAGUCUUUGAACGCAAGUUGCGCCUGAGGCCAAUCGGUUGAGGGCACGUCCGCCUGGGCGUCAAGC